rnacentral:rRNA from 1 species
UACGUAGGGACCAAGCGUUGUUCGGAUUUACUGGGCGUAAAGGGCGCGUAGGCGGCAAUUCAAGUCAGCUGUGAAAUCUCCGAGCUUAACUCGGAACGGUCAGCUGAUACUGUUUUGCUAGAGUACAGAAGGGGCAAUCGGAAUUCUUGGUGUAGCGGUGAAAUGCGUAGAUAUCAAGAGGAACACCUGAGGUGAAGACGGGUUGCUGGGCUGAUACUGACGCUGACAGCGCGAAAGCUAGGGUAGCAAACGGG